GGGCACGAGUCCGUGCGGCGUUUUGCCUCGACCCAUGAUGCCUCGAUCGGACCGGAAUUUCUCUUGAUCGACGAGAAAAGAACAGAGCACAGCGAAUGGGUUUCGCAGAUCUCUUGAGUUCAGCCGCAGAACGCGAUGCUGGAGGCCGAACGCCGGCGAUCUGGAGCGGAAGGAUCUGUGGGGACCAGGUCGUCGGAGAAGGCGGGGGGGCGGUCUCUGUUCUUGUCUGUAGCGAGAGCUGAACGCGCGCCGACCGUUGGUUCGAAAUUUAAGGAGCUAGAGGAGCAAAAUGGCGAAGCUUUCUUCUCAACUCUCUAGAUGUUGCUGUAAAAAGAUCAAUGUACCAAGCAACUUAUUUAUGGUG